rnacentral:rRNA from 1 species
UACCCGCAGCACAAGUGGUGGUCAUUAUUAUUGGGCCUAAAGCGUCCGUAGCUGGCCUGUUAGAUGCCUGGGUAAAUCGAUGCGCUCAACGUAUCGAACUCCGGGUAGACCGGCAGGCUCGAGACCGGGAGAGGUGUAGGCUACUCGCGGGGUAGGGGUAAAAUCCUGUAAUCCUGCGGGGAGGACCAGUGGCGAAGGCGCUACACUAGAACGGCUCUUACAGUGAGGGACGAAGCCCUGGGGCGCAAACCGG